GCACAGUCUGGGUGCAGGCACCUCAGUGGGAGGGCCUGGAUGCACAAGUGUUCGUUGGGGAUUCUGGCUGCAACCGGAAGGGACUCUGCGGCAGAGUCUGUGAAGGAGUAAAAUCCAUCUGAAAAUCCAGCCUAAAGUAAAAAGCAAUCUGGAGACAGACAAAGAACCAAAGGGCUUAGAGAAAAAUGUGAUGACCCCAGGGAAUGAACUGGAAGUAUCCCAGGAAGAGGAGGCUGGCUGCAUCUGUUGGUGAUUUUAUAUAAUAGGAACUGUGCCACGUCAUCACGGCGCUGUCCAUUCAGGAGGCAGCUGUGUGCAGUCAGGCUUUUCCGUGGGUCUCCAGAUCAAGAGCUGUGAAGGAUCCUGUGACACCAACAACUUACCUGCCAUCCAGGAUCCUUUGGUCCAUCAGCAGCUUCGGUCCUAGUAGCUUGUCAACAUCCAGCAGCCGAGAUCCAGUGUUCCUCCCCAAAGGCCAGCGUUUGGCCCGAGGGUAGAAGGUCCUGGACCCACCACUCACUACCAUCUGACCUGCCCACAGAUGACAUCGGAUUAGCAGUGGGCUAUAUAAGGGAUUUGAUUGGUUUUCUUCUUGUUGCCAAGGCAGGGGUAUAUUGGGCCUCUGCUUCAAGCUCCUUUGUUGCAGUCCACUUUUUGUGGCGUGUUUAUGUGGUUGCUUAUGGUUUUCCCC